CCUGGUGGCUCAGUGGUAAAGAAUCUGCCUGCAAUGCAGGAGACCCAGGUUCCAUCCCUGGGUCAGGA
rnacentral:tRNA from 1 species